GUUUCAAACUCACCUGGGUAACUGGUUUAAAAGGCACCUUUCUGGGCAGCUCCCAGACAUUUAUAUUUGGUAGCUCAGGAAUUGGAUUCAGUAAUUCACAUAUUGAGUAACUUCCUCAGGGGUUAGUAUGCACAUAGACUAUGAGAAACACUCCUUCAUAGCCUGUCUGGACCUUCAAAGCCCAGUAACAGGAAACUAUUAAUAUCGUAGCUGGAAGGUGGUCUUCACAUAUGGCAGGAUUAAGGAAUCUUGACUCAAAUUCCGGUCCUCUAGCAUUCCAAAGAUGCAGGAAUUUACUUGACACGUGUGUAAAGGUUCUUAAUAAGCGUUUGUGCAAGUACAAUAGUUUUCAAGCUGUGUUUUGUGGAGUUGUCCACACAACCUGAAUUCAUGUUGACUGUGAGCCAACCCCAUUGUUUUAUGUAUUGGGAUUCUAAGAAAACAACAUUCAAGUGAUUUAGUCCAGGGGUUUAAAACGAAAAGAGACCUUUGUUUUGUUAAGUACAUUCAGAUCAUAGAGGGUUCAGUGUUAUUUUAGCAACUAAAAUGUUUACCAUUUAAUGCUUUUGUCAUUUAAAUUUACAAUUAAAUACAUCUUUAACAUAGCUAAUCUCUUCUUCGUAGGUUGUGGUAUAUGCAUUGUGCUUUGUAAUGAUAUAACCUGUUUAUUUUCUCUUUCUUCUAUGCUUCCUGGAUUUCUGCUCUCCUACUUUUUUAAAUGCUUGUUUUGUCUGUCAAGCUUAUUGACUUCAGUAAUUCAGUGAAGGUACAGAACUGGUUAUAUGUUUAUUAGCAUUAUUGUAUUGAUGACUUUAAUAAUUGCGAAGUCAUGUCAAAAUCCAGUUCAUCCAUAUGCAAGACAGAUAUAAGGCAGAUAGAUGGACUUUUCUGGGGAAAACACCUGUUAAAUUAAAAGGCAGAGAUUUGUGCCAUUUAUUCUCAAAAAAUCCAAUGCAAAUAGCCUUCCAAACAUGGGACAAUAGGAUACAUUCAUUCCUUGUAACUGUGAUCUCACUGACAUUUUCAAUUCUUUGUAGGAUUCCAAAGCCUAUUUCCAUCUUCUCAAUCAAAUCGCACCAAAAGGACAAAAGGAAGGUGAACCACGGAUAGAUAUUAACAUGUCAGGUUUCAAUGAGAAACUCGUGAAGAAAGAACCUUCCGUAACUGGAUGAACUCUCUUGGUGUCAAUCCUCACGUAAACCAUCUCUAUGCGUAAGCCUUCCUACUGCUAUUGUAAACAGUUACGAAUGUCAUGAAUGGAUGUUAAAUAAUGACAGCUCUAAAGAUUUUCUAGAUAUUAAUUUGUAGCUAUUAUUUAUAUUGGAAAAUGUCAAGUGGUGAUUUCCAUCAUCAUUUUCCAAAUACACAAAAGCUUUAAGUAUUCCUUUACAUGAUCGUUAACUGUAAGUGAUAGAAUAUAUAAAUGUCUUUAUAGUACCCUAGGGAGCAAAUACUUUAUAUUUUGAAACAGCUGUUUGGGAGGUUGAGGUGGGGGCAUUGCUUGAGCCCAGGAGUUUGAGGCUUCAGUGAGCUAUGGUUGUGCCACUGUACUCCAGCCUGGGCAACAAAGUGAGAUCCUAUCUCUAAGAGGG
rnacentral:lncRNA from 10 species